GAUGAACGCUGGCGGCGUGCCUAAUACAUGCAAGUCGAGCGAACGGACGAGAAGCUUGCUUCUCUGAUGUUAGCGGCGGACGGGUGAGUAACACGUGGAUAACCUACCUAUAAGACUGGGAUAACCUCGGGAAACCGGAGCUAAUACCGUAUAAUAUUUUGAACCGCAUGGUUCAAAAGUGAAAGACGGUCUUGCUGGCACUUAUAGCUGGAUCAGCGCUGCAUUAGCUAGUUGGUAAGGUAACGGCUUACCAAGGCAACGAUGCAUAGCCGACCUGAGAGGGGGGUCGGCCACACUGGAGCGGAGACGCGGUCCAGACUCCUACGGGAGGCAGCAGUAGGGAAUCUUCCGCAAUGGGCGAAAGCCUGGCGGAGCAACGCCGCGUGAGUGAUGAAGGUCUUCGGAUCGUAAAACUCUGUUAUUAGGGAAGAACAUAUGUGUAAGUAGCUGUGCACAUCUUGACGGUACCUAAUCAGAAAGCCACGGCUAACUACGUG
rnacentral:rRNA from 1 species